ensembl:lncRNA
CCCUCCACCACGUUCCCCCGUGCCUCUGUCUUCCAUGACGUCCCCGUGCCUCUCCCCUCCCCGUGUCUCUGUCUUCACACGACGUUCUCCCCGUGCCUCUGUCUUCGCACGACGUUCUCCCCGUGCCUCUGUCUUCGCACGACGUUCUCCCCGUGCCUCUGUCUUCGCACGACGUUCUCCCCGUGCCUCUGUCUUCGCACGACGUUCUCCCCGUGCCUCUGUCUCCACACGUUCCCCCGUGCCUCUGUCUUCGCCACGUUCUCCCCGUGCCUCUGUCUUCGCACCACGUUCUCCCCGUGCCUCUGUCUUCGCACGACGUUCUCCCCGUGCCUCUGUCUUCACAUCACGUUCUCCCCGUGCCUCUGUCUUCACAUCACGUUCUCCCCGUGCCUCUGUCUUCACACGACGUUCUCCCCGUGCCUCUGUCUUCACAUGGUGUUUUCUUCUUGUCACAAGGACACCAGUCAUGUUGGAUUAGGUCCUACCCUACUGACCUGAUCUUACCUUGAUUACAUCUACGAAGACCCUAUUUCCAAAUAAGGUCACAUUUAAAGAUACUAGGGGGUUAGAACUUUAACCUAUCUUUUGUGGGGAAUAUAAUUCAAAGUCGAAGAGAACCACAGCCACUCACGCUCACAUUUUCCAUUCAUUCAUUCACUCUCCAAGGGGAAAGCAUCUGAGCUGUGUCUGCUGCUUCCCACAGGGGGAGGACCAUGUAGUGGGGAGCAGGGAGAUGGGAGGCAGGUGCAGGUGUGUUCAGGACAAAAAGGCUGGAUGAAGAAAGGACAACAAAAGUCAGAUAGGUGAGAAACAAAGAAUGCGAUCAAGAAAUAUUAUCAGUUGAGUGUUACUAGAGAAUAAAAGAGGAAAGGGAGUAAGUAGCAGUGUCAAAUUCCCAGGAAGGUCCAAUGUGGCAAGAUUUGAAAAGCAGCGGCAGGGUGAUAACUUUACCUUCUCCCCCUUUCAGUUUCAAAGUAUCUAUAGUUUUAAUGCAAGUUUUACAGCACAUCCUAUCAAGGUUCAUAUUUUUCCAUCAAAAUAAAGCUCUGUAUCUAUUACUCUAUAGACCUACUCCAAAAAAUGUUAAGGUAUAUUAUAUUUUAGAGCAAUUGGGCCAGGAAAGAUAAAUCACCUAAACAAAAGCAUUAAACUGUAAAAUAUUUGAAAGACCUGUUUUUCAAAGAUAUAUCUUAAUUAAAGUUAGCCUGAUAUAUACUGUCUCUUCUGGGAAUAUGACUGGUUGAGUUGUUGCAGACUCUACUUUCACUUCAAGUAUAUAGAAAACCCUGAUAAGUAUAACAUUUUUAAAAUACAACACUAAUCCUGAAGGAAAUAACAGAAUUAUAAAUAAAGAAGUAAAUGUCAAAUUUGAUGCCUUUAUCUCUGAGAGGGAGAGAACCCAUCAGGUUCCAAUAUAGAUCUUGACAGUAAAAGGUUAGGCUUUCAAUAGCUAUCCAGGAACAGGAGACAUUGAAAUAAAGCCAGGACCCUAAUAACAACCACAUUUUCCAUGAAAAUUGGACUAGAAGUGGCAAGGAAGCCUGUAGCUGAUUUAAAACACUGGGUAGGGAAAAAAUAAAUUUCCAAAGAAAAACUAAAACAGUAUAUCUAACUAGGUGUGAGAUCUACAUGUGCAGUAUCCAACUGGUGCAUGAGACUCAAAUCUGCGAAAUGAGAUUUGAAAAGAAAAUUGAUCCUAGAUCAAUGAAAACUAGUAUUUGUGGCAGAAGUAAACAAGCAAUGAAAUACACAACUAAUUUAUAAGAAACCAGAUCACGUAAGACUCUCACAGAUAAAUGCUUGUGAAGGUGAGCUAGCUCUGUGAAAUUAUAAAUCAUAUAAGGAAAUGAAUCACUAUGAGAAUGGGUCAGUAGAUACAACAGGGUAAUUACCAUGUUAAUUAAAACUUUAAAAUAGUGUACAUUAAAAAUAUUCCAAAUUGGGUAUAUUUCAGAGAUUAAAAUUAUUAAAAUGUGAAAUAAAGCACUAACAAAAUUAAUGAGACAAUUUUAAGAAGCAGAUUAUGAAAAAGGUUAAACAUAAUUCUAGAAUUUUUAAAAAAAUAUCACUAAAAUCUAAAUGCACAGAAUGGGUAAAACAGUGCAUAAACACAGCCAAAAAGCAGACAACUGUACUAGAAAAUAGUUUGGAAAAAAUUAUCAAGAGUACCACUCAGAGCCAUCAAAAUAGGAAAUAUGAAUAUAAGGUAAAGACACAAAAAAUAGAGAAAAUCCAACAUAUUUUCAAAUAGGAGUUUCCAAAAGAAUAAUAGAGAAAAUGCUGACAAUGUAUAAAUGGAAAGAUAAUAGCUGAUAAGUUUUCAGAACAGUAAAUCAUUCCACAAUUUAAACAAGUAUAGCAGAUGCUGAGCAGAAUUAAAGCAUAAAUUCACACCAAGGCACAUCUAAAUGAAACUUCAGACUACAAAUCAAAAACAAAAUGUUAAAAACAUCUAGGAGAAAUGGAGAUUACCCAUAAAGAAAUGACAAUUAGAGGGGUAGCAGAUUUCACAACAGUAAAAAUAGACGCCAGAAGACAAUGGAAAAAUAUAUGUCAGUCUAUCAUUUUAUACAAGCUAAAUAAUUAUUCAAAAGAUUUCAAGCAAAAACAAAAGUCCAUGGUAAACAAAAGAGGUAAACUAAGAGGGUCAAAAUUAUUCCAAAUCAGUAAUCAAAAGAAACAUAAAUGGGUGGCAGGCGCAGUAGCUCAAGCCUAUAAUCCUAGCACUUUGGGAGGGCGAGGCAGGCGGAUCACCUGAGGUCAGGAGUUCGAGACCAGCCUGGCCAACAUGUCAAAACCCCAUCUCUACUAAAAAUACAAAAAUGAACUGGGCAUGGUGGUAUGCACCUGUAAUCCCAGCUACUCGGGAGGCUGAGGCAGGAGAAUCACUUGAACCCGGGAGGUGGAGGUUGCAGUGAGCUGAGAUCGCGCCAUUGCACUCCAGCCUGGGCAACAAGAGUGAAACUGUGUUUCAAAAAAACAAAAAGAAUAAAAAAAGAAAUAUAAAUGGGUUAAACUUAAGAGCACAGAGAUUCUAAAAUAGGAUUUUUUUUAAAAAAUCACAGUUCUUAGCUGUUUUAUAAAACAUAAUACUCAAAUUACAGAAGUCUGACAUUUAAUAAAUAGGAAAGAAUAAACCAGGAUAAUACUAAAGAAACAAAAGGUAUUUGUAAAAGAUGUUCACCACAUUAAUAUCAGGCAAAAGAGAUUUUGAACAAAAGCCAUGUUAGAAAUAAAGAAAACUGUUACUUUUAAUAACAUAAAAGACAAUUCCUCAGGAGGAAGAUCCUGAAUGCACCUUGUAGCGUUACCCUCAAAAUAAAUAGAACAAAAAUAGACAGAAAUGAAAAAAGAAAUAUCCCAGAUAAAAGUGAAUAAAAUAUUAUCUUAAAAGCAAUUUAUAUAUGAGUUAAACUUUUAUAGACAUGAAAGCUAGUUAUGGUUUUAAGACAAAUUAUCUCCACUGCCAUCUUAUUUAUACCACACAUUAGCUUCUGACACCAGAGUGUAAAAAAUCAUUCCCUAUCAUAAAUUAUACAUUUUUAUUUUAUUUUAUUUACUUUUUUGAGAUGGAGUCUUGCUCUGUUGCCCAGGCUGGAGUGCAAUGGUGUGAUCUCCCGCUCACUGCAACCUCUGCCUCCCAGGUUCAAGCAAUUCUACCUCAGCCUCCCAAGUAACUGGGAUUAGAGGCAUGCACCACCACGCCAGCUAAUUAUUGAAUUCUUUUAGUAGAGACAGGGUUUCAGCAUGUUAGCCAGGCUGGUCUCCAACUCCUAACCUUAGGUGAUCUGCCCACCUUGGUCUCCCAAACUGCUGUGAUUACAGGCAUGAGCCACCAUGCCUGGCCUAAAUUUUUAAAUAAGGAAGCUUAAGUAUAAAUAGUUAAGCUUCUAACUUUAAACAACCUUUAAAAAAACAAUAAUCCUCUUUUGUAUAGUGACUUUUAUGUAUAAAGAAUUUUCAUAAACAUUGAUGGAAUCACACAGAAUAUUUAAUAACUAAGGCUAAGAUUAUGCCUUCUAACUAUAAAAAUCAGUGGGUUUUUGUUGUUUGUUUUGAGACAAGGUCUCACUCUGUCACCCAGGCUUGCAUGCAGUAGAAUGAUCAUAGUUGACUGUACCCUCAAACUUCUGGGCUCAAGGUAUCCUCCUGCCUCAGUCUCCUGAGUUGCUAGGACUACAGGCACAUCACUAUUCCAGGUAAAUUUUUUAAUAUUUUUUUUUAGAUACAGGAUCUAACUGUGUUGCUCAGGCUGGUCUCAAACUCCUGGCCUCAAGAGAUCUUCCUGCUUCAGCCUCCCAAGUGGAAAACCAGUGUUCUUUAUGUUACCAGACUGCCUUUCAAGCAUCUUAGAGUUU